ACUUAUAUUAAUACAGUAAUAUCAUAUUUAUUGAAUGUUUUAAUGUUAAUCAUGAUCUCCCUCGCUUUCAAUCAAACUGGCGUUGUGAGGGGGUCUUCAAGACAGACCGAGAGGGAGCGAACAAUGAUGAAUGUGAAGGAGAGGCUGAGAAAAUAAAGGGAGGAGAAGACGAAGGGAGGGAGGGGAUGGGUUAUUUCUGAGCUCAGGGCCGGGGAUUAAGCAGUCGAGAGCAAUCCCAAUACGAUGACAGCAUCCAGCCUAAACCCCCACGCGCCACACCGUCCGGACACGGAUUCUACCGAUUCUGACAAACUAUUCUGUCUGCUCUCUCUCUUCAAUCACUUAAUUUGACCCUCCCGAUCCACAACCCCGGUCUGUCUUUUUCUUUAGAACACGAGGCGACUACCAGGAUUACAAAUUCUGAUUGGUCCUGAUGAUCACAAGGGCCCUCUUCCACCUCUUGUCGGCCAAUCCCGAUGGGGCUCCGGAGCUGAUGUCACAGAUGGCCCGAGGAUUUUCGUGUUCGGGAAUCCAGAAGAUACAAGCAAUACCACGAGAGCGGAUCCUUGGGGAUGGGAGGUCCAACCGGUCUGGCAGCGUGACCAGUCAGAACUUCCCGGUGAGGCUAACGGUUCAGAUCGUCAGAGACCCGGUGUUGGACUCCAGCGGUCAUGGGUUCUCCCUCUCCAGACAGCACCCUCUGCUGGUCAGGGACGUGGCUACAGGAGGCCCAGCAGAGGGCAUACUGUACCCUGGAGACCAGGUGUUACAGAUCAAUGACCUGCUGGUGGACCAUCUCAGCUAUGAACAGC
rnacentral:lncRNA from 8 species